rnacentral:rRNA from 1 species
GUGCCAGCAGCCGCGGUAAUACGAAGGGUGCAAGCGUUAAUCGGAAUUACUGGGCGUAAAGCGCACGCAGGCGGUCUGUCAAGUCGGAUGUGAAAUCCCCGGGCUCAACCUGGGAACUGCAUUCGAAACUGGCAGGCUAGAGUCUUGUAGAGGGGGGUAGAAUUCCAGGUGUAGCGGUGAAAUGCGUAGAGAUCUGGAGGAAUACCGGUGGCGAAGGCGGCCCCCUGGACAAAGACUGACGCUCAGGCGCGAAAGCGUGGGGAGCAAACAGGAUUAGAUACCCUGGUAGUCC